CUCGCCAUGUCAGUGAUCGACGCUCUGGCGUUUGAUUUAGCAGGUCUAGUAUGGACCUGUAAAUGAAUGCAGAGGGCAGCUCUGGCUGGCGCCUAUACUCCUUGGCAGUUGAGAGGAGUAAGGGAUGCUGACCGAAGUGUUUACUCCUGUCGGCCUUCUGCAGUGGGAACGACGCCAAGCUCAGCUUAAGGAUGUGACAGCAUCUUCUAGCCAUUGGAGAUGAAAGCAACAUGUGCAUGUUACAUUUUCUGAGAGAUAAGCAUCACCUAAUAAUCCAAGAUACUACUUAACUAUGGACUGAACUGACCGGUUAUGGAAAGCUCUGCUAGAUGCUGCCCUGACACUAUACAAAGGAAUCUAAUUAAGAAAGGCAGAAUCCUCAUGAAGACAAUCCAUUAAUGAAUAUUGUUGUCAUCCAUGGAAAUUGACUCUCAGUGAAUUUGAGUGCUAGUCCAGCUCUUGUGGACAUCAAUGGGAGGCUCUUCAAUGGAUUUGAGGAAGGUACUUAACUGGCGGUGCUAGAAAAA